rnacentral:tRNA from 2 species
AAUAAGAUGCCUGAAAAAGGAUUACUUUGAUAUAGUAAAUCAAGUGUUAAUAAAAACACUCUUAUUA